rnacentral:rRNA from 1 species
CACGGGGGGAGCAAGCGUUGUUCGGAAUCACUGGGCGUAAAGGGCGUGUAGGCGGUCAAGUAAGUGGAAUGUGAAAGCCCCCGGCUUACCCGGGGAUCUGCAUCCCAAACUGCUCGGCUUGAGUACGGGAGAGGAUAGGGGAAUUCCUGGUGUAGCGGUGAAAUGCGUAGAUAUCAGGAGGAACACCGGUGGCGAAGGCGCCGUAUCUGGCCCGAUACUGACGCUGAGGCGCGAAAGCUAGGGGAGCAAACGGG